rnacentral:lncRNA from 1 species
AACAAACGGAAACAAAUCACUUAUCUAAAACUUACCGAACAAUAGCAGACAAACGUGGAGCGACACAAGGCAGAGUGGGAAAAGAAAAAUCAAGAAGAUGAAGGGUGAAAGAGAGCAGAAAUUUGGCAGCAAUGAAGAGAAAAACGGCAAGGGGGUGGAGGGAUUUUGGGGAAAGUAAAAAAAAAGGAAAUAAAAAAUAAAAAGAUGAACAGAAUAUUUGAUAACCACCCCAAUUCCUUAUUCCUCUCCAUCAAUCUCCCC